CGAUACCAGUACCAAUCCCAAUACCGUGACUUCGAUAACGGUUCCUGAACGAUACUUUUCUCUAUAACAAUUUUAUAAAAUAAAAAAAAAAUAACAUUUUA